CCUACGGGAGGCAGCAGUGGGGAAUAUUGCACAAUGGGGGAAACCCUGAUGCAGCGACGCCGCGUGAGUGAGGAAGUAUUUCGGUAUGUAAAGCUCUAUCAGCAGGGAAGAAAAUGACGGUACCUGACUAAGAAGCCCCGGCUAUCUACGUGCCAGAAGCCGCGGUAAUAGGUGGGGGGCAGCGUUAUCCGGGAGUACUGGGUGGAAAGGGAGCGUAGACGGGUAAUUAAGUCAGAAGUGAAAGCCCAGGGCUCAACCGUGGGAGUGCUUUUGAAACUGAGUAGCUUGAGUGCAGGAGAGGUAAGCGGAAUUCCUAGUGUAGCGGUGAAAUGCGUAGAUAUUAGGAGGAACACCAGUGGCGAAGGCGGCUUACUGGACUGUAACUGACGUUGAGGCUCGAAAGCGUGGGGAGCAAACAGGAUUAGAUACCCGGGUAGUC
rnacentral:rRNA from 1 species